AAUCAACAUUAUCUAUAGAAAAUCAGUUUGGGUUUAUCGCGAUUUCCUUACGAAUUCAUCGACUAAACUCGGUGCUCCUCACUUACUUGUGUCAAGACGCGAAUCGAAAAUCGAACCGAAUCGCGAAAUUGUUUUUCACGGUUCGGUUUUUAUCAAUUAACUGAACCCAAAACAGAUAAAAUCAAAUCUAAUUCGGUUCUCUCCCGACUCCCGUCUCUGAGUCCUCUUGUGUCUCUUGAUUUUUAUCGGUUUCCGUCUGAGUUCUCUCGACGGCGACUGCGACGGCGACGGCGGCAGGGACGGCGACUGCGACGGCGAUGGCAACCGAUUGAGGGACAGAGCCCCUUUCUUCGGCAAGUCUCUCCUUCGUCCCUCUUCCUUUUGCGACGGCGACAGCGACUGAGAAGAAUUUGUAGCGGCCACGUGCUCGAGCAUGUCCUGCGCGCGCUCUGCUCUGGACUGAGGGGCCGCCAGUGGCUUUAGAUCUGCGACGCCUCUUGCUUGCUCAGUGAGCUGGGCUAGUUCAAAUCGUUUGGCUUAUCUGGAACCAAUCCCCAGAGGAGCCAUGCUUCCCAGAUGUUGAACGAUCAAAUUUAUAAUAUUGGAGCAGCCAAUGCAACAAAUAUGAUUCCAGUACAGCAGCAGCAGCAGCAGCCGCCUGGUUCACAGGGCGCAUUUGGUAACAUGGCUCCAAAUACUCAGGGUCUGCAGUCUGGUAUGGUAACCCUACCAAACGCAUCCCAGAAUCACCCCAAUUUCUCACAACAGAGGCAGCCAAAUCAGCAGUGAGACACUGGUUUCGUGGUGGUGCUCGAGCAUCUCAGUACUCUUGGAUUGAUGCAGGGGUUACCACUGCGAUACUUGGAGGGUGGAACUUCUUGGCGUAGUCCUGCUUAUAGAAACUUGUUUUGGGGAGUAUAUAUGGUGAGGGAAAAGCUUGAUUAGGAAGACGCAUGUUCUGAUCUUCACUUUUGGCAAAAUAGAGAAGAAAAGGAAAUCUUUGCUUCACA